UAGGGAAUAUUAGAAAUGGACGAAAGUCUGAUCUAGCAACACCGCGUGUGCGAAGAAGGCCUUCGGGUUGUAAAGCACUUUUUGAGAGGAUGAGGAAGGACGGUACUCUCAGAAUAAGUCUCGGCUAACUACGUGCCAGCAGCCGCGGUAACACGUAGGAGGCAAACGUUAUCCGGAUUUACUGGGCGUAAAGCGCGUGUAGGUGGUUUGGUAAGUAGAGCGUGAAAGCUCCUGGCUCGACUGGGAGAGGCCGUUCUAAACUACAGAACUAGAGGAUGGUAGAGGGAGGUGGAAUUCCAGGUGUAGCGGUGGAAUGCGCAGAUAUCUGGAGGAACACCGGUGGCGAAGGCGGCCUCCUAGACCAUUCCUGACACUCAGACGCGAAAGCUAGGGUAGCAAACG
rnacentral:rRNA from 1 species